AGAUUAAGUUAUUAAGGGCGCACGGUGGAUGCCUUGGCACUAGAAGCCGAUGAAGGACGUUACUAACGACGAUAUGCUUUGGGUAGCUGUAAGUAAGCGUUGAUCCAGAGAUUUCCGAAUGGGGGAACCCAGCAUGAGUUAUGUCAUGUUAUCGACAUGUGAAUUCAUAGCAUGUCAGAAGGCAGACCCGGAGAACUGAAACAUCUUAGUACCCGGAGGAAGAGAAAGAAAAAUCGAUUCCCUGAGUAGCGGCGAGCGAAACGGGAAUAGCCCAAACCAACAAGCUUGCUUGUUGGGGUUGUAGGACACUCUAUACGGAGUUACAAAAGAACAUGUUAGACGAAUCAUCUGGAAAGAUGAAUCAAAGAAGGUAAUAAUCCUGUAGUCGAAAACAUAUUCUCUCUUGAGUGGAUCCUGAGUACGACGGAGCACGUGAAAUUCCGUCGGAAUCUGGGAGGACCAUCUCCUAAGGCUAAAUACUCUCUAGUGACCGAUAGUGAACCAGUACCGUGAGGGAAAGGUGAAAAGUACCCCGGAAGGGGAGUGAAAGAGAACUUGAAACCGUGUGCUUACAAGUAGUCAGAGCCCGUUAAUGGGUGAUGGCGUGCCUUUUGUAGAAUGAACCGGCGAGUUACGAUCUGAUGCAAGGUUAAGCAGCAAAUGUGGAGCCGCAGCGAAAGCGAGUCUGAAUAGGGCGUUGAGUAUUUGGUCGUAGACCCGAAACCAGGUGAUCUACCCUUGGUCAGGUUGAAGUUCAGGUAACACUGAAUGGAGGACCGAACCGACUUACGUUGAAAAGUGAGCGGAUGAACUGAGGGUAGCGGAGAAAUUCCAAUCGAACUUGGAGAUAGCUGGUUCUCUCCGAAAUAGCUUUAGGGCUAGCCUCAAGUGAUGAUUAUUGGAGGUAGAGCACUGUUUGGACGAGGGGCCCCUCUCGGGUUACCGAAUUCAGACAAACUCCGAAUGCCAAUUAAUUUAACUUGGGAGUCAGAACAUGGGUGAUAAGGUCCGUGUUCGAAAGGGAAACAGCCCAGACCACCAGCUAAGGUCCCAAAAUAUAUGUUAAGUGGAAAAGGAUGUGGCGUUGCCCAGACAACUAGGAUGUUGGCUUAGAAGCAGCCAUCAUUUAAAGAGUGCGUAAUAGCUCACUAGUCGAGUGACACUGCGCCGAAAAUGUACCGGGGCUAAACAUAUUACCGAAGCUGUGGAUUGUCCUUUGGACAAUGGUAGGAGAGCGUUCUAAGGGCGUCGAAGCAUGAUCGCAAGGACAUGUGGAGCGCUUAGAAGUGAGAAUGCCGGUGUGAGUAGCGAAAGACGGGUGAGAAUCCCGUCCACCGAUUGACUAAGGUUUCCAGAGGAAGGCUCGUCCGCUCUGGGUUAGUCGGGUCCUAAGCUGAGGCCGACAGGCGUAGGCGAUGGAUAACAGGUUGAUAUUCCUGUACCACCUAGUAUCGUUUUAAUCGAUGGGGGGACGCAGUAGGAUAGGCGAAGCGUGCUGUUGGAGUGCACGUCCAAGCAGUAAGGCUGAGUGUUAGGCAAAUCCGGCACUCAUAAGGCUGAGCUGUGAUGGGGAGAGGAAAUUGUUUCCUCGAGUCGUUGAUUUCACACUGCCGAGAAAAGCCUCUAGAUAGAUAACAGGUGCCCGUACCGCAAACCGACACAGGUAGUCAAGAUGAGAAUUCUAAGGUGAGCGAGCGAACUCUCGUUAAGGAACUCGGCAAAAUGACCCCGUAACUUCGGGAGAAGGGGUGCUCUUUAGGGUUCACGCCCAGAAGAGCCGCAGUGAAUAGGCCCAAGCGACUGUUUAUCAAAAACACAGGUCUCUGCUAAACCGUAAGGUGAUGUAUAGGGGCUGACGCCUGCCCGGUGCUGGAAGGUUAAGAGGAGUGGUUAGCUUCUGCGAAGCUACGAAU
rnacentral:rRNA from 1 species